rnacentral:piRNA from 1 species
UGAGACUGUGGCUAAAAUACUGUUGCU